CCUACGGGGGGCAGCAGUGGGGAAUAUUGCACAAUGGGGGAAACCCUGAUGCAGCGACGCCGCGUGAGUGAAGAAGUAUUUCGGUACGUAAAGCUCUAUCAGCAGGGAAGAAAAUGACGGUACCUGACUAAGAAGCCCCGGCUAACUACGUGCCAGCAGCCGCGGUAAUACGUAGGGGGCAAGAGUUAUCCGGAUUUACUGGGUGUAAAGGGAGCGUAGACGGCAGCGCAAGUCUGGAGUGAAAUCCCAUGGCUUAACCAUGGAACUGCUUUGGAAACUGUGCAGCUAGAGUGCAGGAGAGGUAAGCGGAAUUCCUAGUGUAGCGGUGAAAUGCGUAGAUAUUAGGAGGAACACCAGUGGCGAAGGCGGCUUACUGGACUGUAACUGACGUUGAGGCUCGAAAGCGUGGGGAGCAAACAGGAUUAGAUACCCCGGUAGUC
rnacentral:rRNA from 1 species